rnacentral:rRNA from 1 species
AUGGCCGCGGUAUUUUGACCGUGCAAAGGUAGCAUAAUCAUUAGUUUUUUAAUUGAAAGCUGGAAUGAAUGGUUGGACAAGAAAAUUUCUGUCUCUGUUUAAUUUUUUAGAAUUUUAUUUUUUAGUCAGAAAGCUUAAAUUUUUUUAAGGGACGAGAAGACCCUAUAGAAUUUUACUUAUAAAGGGGUUUUUAAUUUUUGGAAUUAUUUUUUUGAAAUUUAUUUUAUAUGUUUUGUUGGGGUGAUAGAAAAAUUUAAAUAACUUUUUUUUGUUUAAGUCAUUGAUUAAUGAAUAAUUGAUCCAUUUGUUUUGAUUAUAAGAUUAAAUUACCUUAGGGAUAACAGC